rnacentral:rRNA from 1 species
CACGUAGGGGGCAAGCGUUGUCCGGAUUUAUUGGGCGUAAAGAGCUCGUAGGCGGUUCGGUAAGUCGGGUGUGAAACCUCCAGGCUCAACCUGGAGAGGCCACCUGAUACUGCUGUGACUCGAGUCCGGUAGGGGAGCGUGGAAUUCCUGGUGAGCGGUGAAAUGCGCAGAUAUCAGGAGGAACACCAGCGGCGAAGGCGGCGCUCUGGGCCGGAACUGACGCUGAGGAGCGAAAGCGUGGGGAGCAAACAGG